GUUUAAUAAUCCUGAUACCAGCGGACUCCAUCAUGAACAACAUGCAUAGAUGUCAAGUCUGCUCUUCCAACUCAUUAGGCACACUGAUUAUGAUUGAGUUGCACCUUGUUUCAAACCAAUCAGUGCCAGAACAGAAUGGGAUUAGAUGUGAGUCCUUCUUUAAAGCUUCAGCAGCGUUCCUCAUUUCAGCAGCUGUAGUUGUAGUGGCAGGCUCACUGGCGUACUACAGUUGCUCGCCAGCUCAACCAUGGCUUUAAUAAUGCGGGUACUUCAAUUGUCUCUACUCCUUGAUGUGGGGUGUCAAGUACAUGCUUACAGGAUCGGAUAUGCUGAGCCGGAGAUGCCUACGUAUGGGCUGCAGCAGCCUCCUAGCUACAACCCAGCAGCAACCUCCUAGCUACAAGCCCCACCCCCAGCAGCAGCAUCCUAGCUACAAGCCCCAGCAGAAGCAUCCUAGCUACAAGCCGCAGCAGCAGCAGCAGCAUCCUAGCUACAAGCCCCAGCAGCAGCAGCAGCAUCAUCCUAGCUACAAGCCCCAGCAGCAGCAGCAGCAUCCUAGCUACAAACAGCAGCAGCAUCCUAGCGACAAGCCCCAGCAGCAGCAGCAACAUCCUAGCUACAAGCCCCAGCAGCAGCAGCAACAUCCCAUUUACAAGCCCCAGCAGCAGCAGCAGCAGCAGCAAGCAGCAGCAGCAGCAGCAACAUCUACAGCAGCAGCAGCAACAUCCUAGCUACAAGCCCCAGCAGCAGCAGCAACAGCAGCAGCUACAAGCCAGCAGCAGCAGCAGCAACAUCCUAGCUACAAGCCCCAGCAGCAGCCUGGCAGCAGCAGCAGCAGCAGCAGCAGCAGCAUCCUAGCUACAAGCCCCAGCAGCAGCAGCAGCAACAUCCUAGCUAGCAGCAGCAGCAGCAACAUCCUAGCUACAAGCCCCAGCAGCAGCAGCAGCAGCAGCCAUCCCAGCAGCAGCAUCCAGCUACAGCCAGCAGCAGCAGCAGCAUCCUAGCUACAAGCCCCAGCAGCAGCAGCAUCCUAGCUACAAGCCCCAGCAGCAGCAGCAUCCUAGCUACAAGCCCCAGCAGCAGCAGCAGCAACAUCCUAGCUACAAGCCCCAGCAGCAGCAGCAGCAGCAGCUACAAGCCCCAGCAGCAGCAACAUCCUAGCUACAAGCCCAGCCCAGCAGCAGCAGCAGCAACAUCCUAGCUACAAGCCCCAGCAGCCCAGCAGCAGCAGCAACAUCCUAGCUACAAGCCCCAGCAGCAGCAGCAACAUCCUAGCUACAAGCCCCCCAGCAGCAGCAGCAACAUCCUAGCUACAAGCCCCAGCAGCAGCAACAUCCUAGCUACAAGCCCCCCAGCAGCAGCAACAUCCUAGCUACAAGCCCAGCAGCAGCAGCAGCAGCAGCAGCAUCCUAGCUACAAGCCCCAGCAGCAGCCUUCACAGCAACAUCCUAGCUACAAGCCCCAGCAGCAGCAGCAGCAACAUCCUAGCUACAAGCCCCAGCAGCAGCAGCCUUCUAGCUACAAGCCCCAGGAGCCAGCAGCAGCCACAGGAGCCUAGCUACGACCAGCAACAGCAGCAGCAGCAGCAUCCUAGCUACAAGCCCCAGCAGCAGCAGCAUCCAGCGACAAGCAGCAGCAGCAUCCUAGCUACAAGCCCCAGCAGCAGCAGCAGCAUCCUAGCCAAGCCCCAGCAGAAGCAGCAACAUCCCAGCUACAAGCCCCAGCAGCAGCAGCAAAUGCAGCAGCAUCAGCAGCCUGCCAAGAUAUCAGCGGUCAAAGAAC
ensembl:lncRNA